rnacentral:rRNA from 1 species
GACGAACGCUGGCGGCGUGCUUAACACAUGCAAGUCGAACGGAAAGGCCCUGCUUUUGUGGGGUGCUCGAGUGGCGAACGGGUGAGUAACACGUGAGUAACCUGCCCUUGACUUUGGGAUAACUUCAGGAAACUGGGGCUAAUACCGGAUAGGAGCUCCUGCUGCAUGGUGGGGGUUGGAAAGUUUCGGCGGUUGGGGAUGGACUCGCGGCUUAUCAACUUGUUGGUGGGGUAGUGGCUUACCGAGGCUUUGACGGGUAGCCGGCCUGAGAGGGUGACCGGCCACAUUGGGACUGAGAUACGGCCCAGACUCCUACGGGAGGCAGCAGUGGGGAAUAUUGCACAAUGGGCGGAAGCCUGAUGCAGCAACGCCGCGUGCGGGAUGACGGCCUUCGGGAUGUAAACCGCUUUCGCCUGUGACGAAGCGUGAGUGACGGUAAUGGGUAAAGAAGCACCGGCUAACUACGUG